GAUGAACGCUGGCGGCGUGCUUAACACAUGCAAGUCGAACGGAAAGGCUCCUGCUUGCUGGGGUACUCGAGUGGCGAACGGGUGAGUAACACGUGGGUGAUCUGCCCUGCACUUCGGGAUAAGCCUGGGAAACUGGGUCUAAUACCGGAUAGGACCACAUUUUGGAUGGUGUGGUGGAAAGUUUUUCGGUGUGGGAUGAGCUCGCGGCCUAUCAGCUUGUUGGUGGGGUAAUGGUCUACCAAGGCGUCGACGGGUAGCCGGCCUGAGAGGGUGUACGGCCACAGUGGGACUGAGAUACGGCCCAGACUCCUACGGGAGGCAGCAGUGGGGAAUAUUGCACAAUGGGCGCAAGCCUGAUGAAGCGACGCCGCGUGGGGGAUGACGGCCUUCGGGUUGUAAACUCCUUUCGCUAGGGACGAAGCGCAAGUGACGGUACCUGGAGAAGAAGCACCGGCUAACUACGUG
rnacentral:rRNA from 1 species